UACAUACUCCCUCCGCCCGGAAAUACUUGUCGUUCAAAUGGAUGUAUCUAGCACUGAAAUAUGCCUACAUGCGUCCAUUUGAGCGACAAGUAUUUUCGGGCGGAGGUAGUAUAUU
rfam:Triticum aestivum genome assembly, contig: Triticum_aestivum_CS42_TGACv1_scaffold_361541_4DS